rnacentral:rRNA from 1 species
GGUGAGUGUGUGGCGGCUGGCGCGGUAAUACGGUGGGGGCGAGGGUUGUCCGGAUGGAGUGGGCGUAAAUGGCUUGUAGGCGGUGUGUCGCGUCUGCUGUGAAAGCCCUGGGCUUAACUCCGUGUCUGCAGUGGGUACGGGCAGAAUAGAGUGUGGUAGGGGAGACUGGAAUUCCUGGUGUAGCGGUGAAAUGCGCAGAUAUCAGGAGGAACACCGAUGGCGAAGGCAGGUCUCUGGGCCAUUACUGACGCUGAGAAGCGAAAGCAUGGGGAGCGAACAGGAUUAGAUACCCCAGUAGUC